UCUUCAGAGUACCUACAGUCUAGAGAGGGAGCCCAGCUAAACAGUUAAUUCCAAUUCAGUGUGGAGGAAUGCCCAGGGAACCCAGAGAGGAUACUCACUUUGUCUGAGAAACAGAGGGAAGUUUCACAGGAAAGGUGUAUUAGUCUGUUUUCAUGCUGCUAGUAAAGACAUACCCGAGACUGGGUAAUUUAUAAUGGAAAGAGGUUUAAUUGACUCACAGUUCCACAUGCUGGGGAGGCCUCAUAAUCAUGGUGGAAGAGCGAGGGGUGUCUUACAUGGUGGCAGGCAAGAGAGCAUGUGCAGGGGAACUCCUCAUUAUAAAACCAUCAGAUCUCGUGAGACUUAUUCACUAUCAGGAGAACAGCAUGGGAAAGACCCACCCCCAUGAUUCAAUUACCUCCCACCGGGUCCCUCCCUUGACAUGUAGGAAUUAUGGGAGCUACAAUUCAAGAUGAGAUUUGGUUGGGGACACAGUCAAACCGUAUGAAGAGGAAAGCCUUGACUGGACCUUGACCUUGACUCAACCUUAGCCCUUACUCUGUGAGCACAAGUACACAGGACGAUACUUGUGAUGGUUAAUAUUGAGAGUCAACUUGAUUGGAUUGAAGGAUGCAAAGUAUUGUUCGUGGGUGCGUCUGUGAGGGUGUUGCCAAAGGAGAUGGACAUUUGAGUCAGUGGACCGGGAGAGGCAGACUCACCCCUACUCUGGGUAAGCACCAUCUAAUCAGCUGCCAGCUGAAUAAAGCAGGCAGGAGAAGAUGGAAGAGCAGACUUGCUGAGUCUUCUGGACUUCAUCUUUCUCCCGUGCUGGCUGCUUCCUGCCCUCGAACAUCAGACUCCAAGUUCUUAAGCUUUUGGACUCUUGGACUUACACCAGUGGUUUGCCAGGGGCUCUCGGGCCUUUGGCCACAGACUGAAGGCUGCACUGUCGGCUUCCCUACUUUUGAGGUUUUGGGACUCGGACUGAUCCACCACUACCUUCCUUGCCCCUCAGCAUGCAGACAACCUAUCGUGGGACUUUACCUGGUGAUUGUGUCCUCUCAAUCCUGAAGAGAUUAAUUAAAACUCCAGCACCUUUUAAACAUCUAAAUAGGAAACACUUGUCAUCUAUUGUGUCUAAGGGCAGCCACUAUAAGACUUCAGAAGAACCCUGAUCUCCACAAUUUUUUAUUCUAACCUGAAUAUUUCAUUUCUAUCGAUCUCAGGUCUUUAGACAAACUCCACCAAUUGUCAAUCAGAAAACGUUUAAAUUUACCUAUAGCCUGAGAGCACCUGCUUUGAGUUGUCCCGCCUUUCUGCACUAAACUAAUGUAUUUCUUGAAUGUAUUUGAUUGAUGUCUCAUGCCUUCCUAAAAUGUAUAAAACCAAACUGCUCCCCCACCACCUUGGGCACAUGUUCUCAGGACCUCCUGAGGGCUGUGUCACGGGCCAUGGUCACUCAUAUUUGGUUCAGAAUAAAUCCCUUCAAAUAUUUUACAGAGUUUGACUCUUUUCAUUGACACCUAUUUGGCCCUUCUUUGAUAAAUUACAAGUUCAGUAGAGGCCACCCAAGGAUAACCCACAGAAGAAGUUCUUCAAUUUCUGUAUGAACUAUUCGUAAUCCAUCUUAACAGGACAUUUACAAAGUUUGGGGCACGCAUCACAAUUUGCAUUUGGAAAGUAUUUGAAUAAUGUUCACAAGGUAAAAUUCAUUGAUUUUGGUGAACUAAUUGUGGACAACAUGUUAAUAAAAUUUCAACUAAUUCUACACAAUGCUGUAUUUUAAUGGCUGAAAUAUUAAAAAUUUAUAUCCUAU
rnacentral:lncRNA from 10 species